AUACGGAGGGUGCAAGCGUUACUCGGAAUCACUGGGCGUAAAGCGCGCGCAGGCGGCUAUUUAAGUUGGAUGUGAAAGCCUACGGCUCAACCGUAGAACUGCAUCCAAAACUAUUUAGCUAGAGUGUGGGAGAGGUAGAUGGAAUUAGUUGUGUAGGGGUAAAAUCCGUAGAGAUAACUAGGAAUACCAAAAGCGAAGGCAAUCUUCUGGAACACUACUGACGCUGAGGCGCGAAAGCGUGGGGAGCAAACAGGAUUAGAAACCCGAGUAGUCC
rnacentral:rRNA from 1 species